UUUUCCUACGGGGGGCAGCAGUGGGGAAUAUUGCACAAUGGGCGAAAGCCUGAUGCAGCAACGCCGCGUGAAGGAAGAAGGGUUUCGGCUCGUAAACUUCUAUCAACAGGGACGAAAGAAAUGACGGUACCUGAAUAAGAAGCCCCGGCUAACUACGUGCCAGCAGCCGCGGGAAUACGUAGGGGGCAAGCGUUAUCCGGAAUUACUGGGGGUAAAGGGCGAGUAGGCGGCAUGGUAAGCCAGAUGGGAAAGCCUUGGGCUUAACCCGCGGAUUGAAUUUGGAAGUAUCAAGCUAGAGUACAGGG
rnacentral:rRNA from 1 species